rnacentral:misc_RNA from 1 species
UUUCCGUAGGUGAACCUGCGGAAGGAUCAUUAUUGUAUAACCGAGGUGCGAGGGCUGUCGCUGACCCGAAAGGUCGUGCACGCUCGAGUGCCCUCACACACAUCCAUCUCACCCCUAUGUGCACCACCGCGUGGGUCCCCCUUUGGCUUGUUCGGAGGGGGGCUUACGUUUUCACACAAACUUUGUAUGCAGUAUAGAAUGUAUUUUUUGUUUUUGCGAUCACGCAAUCAAUACAACUUUCAACAACGGAUCUCUUGGCUCUC